rnacentral:rRNA from 1 species
CAGUCGCCGCGGGAAUACGUAGGGUGCGAGCGUUAAUCGGAAUUACUGGGCGUAAAGCGUGCGCAGGCGGUUAUGUAAGACAGUUGUGAAAUCCCCGGGCUCAACCUGGGAACUGCAUCUGUGACUGCAUAGCUAGAGUACGGUGGAGGGGGAUGGAAUUCCGCGUGUAGCAGUGAAAUGCGUAGAGACGUGGAGGAACACCGAUGGCGAAGGCAGCCCCCUGGGCCAAUGCUGACGCUCAUGCACGAAAGCGUGGGGAGCAAACAGGAUUAGAGACCCGCGUAGUCCCUGUCUCUUAUAC